AGCUUGCUCCUGGGUGACGAGCGGCGGAGGGGUGAGUAAUGUCUGGGAAACUGCCUGAUGGAGGGGGAUAACUACGGGAAACGGUAUCUAAUACCGCAAAACGUCGCAAGACCAAAGAGGGGGACCUUCGGGCCUCUGGCCAUCAAAUGUGCCCAGAUGGGAUUAUCUAGUAGGGGGGGUAACGGCUCACCUAGGCGACAAUCCCUAUCUGGUCUGAGAGGAUGACCCCCCCCACUGGAACUGAGACACGGUCCACACUCCUACGGGGGGCACCAGUGGGGAAUAUUGCACAAUGGGCGCACGCCUGAUGCACCCCUGCCGCGUGUAUAAAAAAGGCCUUCGGGUUGUAAAAUAUUUUCAGCGGGGAGGAAGGCGAUAAGGUUAAUAACCUUGUCGAUUGACUUUCCCCCCAAAAAAAACACCGGCUAACUCCGUGCCACCACCCGCGGUAAUACGGAGGGUGCAAGCGUUAAUCGGAAUUACUGGGCGUAAAGCGCACGCAGGCGGUCUGUCAAGUCGGAUGUGAAAUCCCCGGGCUCACCCUGGGAACUG
rnacentral:rRNA from 1 species